GAGGGUAUAACUCAGUGGUUGAGUGUGUGUUUAGCAUGCACGAAGUCCUGGGUUCAAUCCCUCGUACCUCCA
rnacentral:tRNA from 1 species